rnacentral:rRNA from 1 species
AAGAACGACUCUCGGCAACGGAUAUCUCGGCUCUCGCAUCGAUGAAGAACGUAGCGAAAUGCGAUACUUGGUGUGAAUUGCAGAAUCCCGUGAACCAUCGAGUCUUUGAACGCAAGUUGCGCCCGACGCCAUCAGGUCGAGGGCACGUCUGCCUGGGCGUCACACGC